rnacentral:miRNA from 1 species
AUGCAGAUUUUGGUACACUUCA